rnacentral:rRNA from 1 species
UACGGAGGUGGCAAGCGUUGUUCGGAAUUACUGGGCGUAAAGGGCGCGUAGGCGGCGCAACAAGUCACUUGUGAAAUCUCCGGGCUUAACCCGGAGCGGCCAAGUGAUACUGUCGUGCUAGAGUGCGGAAGGGGCUACUGGAAUUCUCGGUGUAGCGGUGAAAUGCGUAGAUAUCGAGAGGAACACCUGCGGCGAAGGCGGUUGCUGGCUGAUGACUGACGCUGAGGCGCGAAAGCCAGGGAGCGAACGGG